AGACCCGAAACCCGGUGAUCUAGCCAUGGGCAGGUUGAAGGUUGGGUAACACUAACUGGAGGACCGAACCGACUAAUGUUGAAAAAUUAGCGGAUGACUUGUGGCUGGGGGUGAAAGGCCAAUCAAACCGGGAGAUAGCUGGUUCUCCCCGAAAGCUAUUUAGGUAGCGCCUCGUGAAUUCAUCUCCGGGGGUAGAGCACUGUUUCGGCAAGGGGGUCAUCCCGACUUACCAACCCGAUGCAAACUGCGAAUACCGGAGAAUGUUAUCACGGGAGACACACGGCGGGUGCUAACGUCCGUCGUGAAGAGGGAAACAACCCAGACCGCCAGCUAAGGUCCCAAAGUCAUGGUUAAGUGGGAAACGAUGUGGGAAGGCCCAGACAGCCAGGAUGUUGGCUUAGAAGCAGCCAUCAUUUAAAGAAAGCGUAAUAGCUCACUGGUCGAGUCGGCCUGCGCGGAAGAUGUAACGGGGCUAAACCAUGCACCGAAGCUGCGGCAGCGACACUGUGUGUUGUUGGGUAGGGGAGCGUUCUGUAAGCCU
rnacentral:rRNA from 1 species